GACGAACGCUGGCGGCGUGCCUAAUACAUGCAAGUUGAGCGAUGAAGAUUGGUGCUUGCACCAAUUUGAAGAGCAGCGAACGGGUGAGUAACGCGUGGGGAAUCUGCCUUUGAGCGGGGGACAACAUUUGGAAACGAAUGCUAAUACCGCAUAACAACUUUAAACAUAAGUUUUAAGUUUGAAAGAUGCAAUUGCAUCACUCAAAGAUGAUCCCGCGUUGUAUUAGCUAGUUGGUGAGGUAAAGGCUCACCAAGGCGAUGAUACAUAGCCGACCUGAGAGGGUGAUCGGCCACAUUGGGACUGAGACACGGCCCAAACUCCUACGGGAGGCAGCAGUAGGGAAUCUUCGGAAAUGGACGAAAGUCUGAACGAGCAACGCCGCGUGAGGGAAGAAGGGUUUCGGAUCGGAAAACUCUGUUGGUAGAGAAGAACGUUGGUGAGAGUGGAAAGCUCAUCAAGUGACGGUAACUACACAGAAAGGGACGGCUAACUACGUG
rnacentral:rRNA from 1 species